rnacentral:rRNA from 1 species
UACGUAGGGGCAAGCGUGUCCGGAUUUAUUGGGCGUAAAGAGCGUGUAGGCGGCCUGACAGGUCUGCUGUGAAAACUCGAGGCUCAACCUCGAGAUGUCGGCGGAAACCGUCUGGCUAGAGUCCGGAAGAGGAGAGUGGAAUUCCUGGUGUAGCGGUGAAAUGCGCAGAAUAUCAGGAAGAACACCUAUGGCGAAGGCAGCUCUCUGGGACGGUACUGACGCUGAGAGCGAAAGCGUGGGGAGCGAACAGG